rnacentral:rRNA from 1 species
AUUGAACGCUGGCGACAGGCCUAACACAUGCAAGUCGAGCGCGAAAGUCUUCGGAUGAGUAAAGCGGCGAACGGGUGAGUAAUGCAUGGGAAUCUGCCUGGUAUGGGGGACAACGUCUCGAAAGGGACGCUAAUACCGCAUACGCCCUACGGGGGAAAGGGGGGGAUCUUCGGACCUCUCGCUAUCAGAUGAGCCCAUGUCAGAUUAGCUAGUUGGUGAGGUAAAGGCUCACCAAGGCGACGAUCUGUAACUGGUCUGAGAGGAUGAUCAGUCACACUGGAACUGAGACACGGUCCAGACUCCUACGGGGAGGCAGCAGUGGGGAAUAUUGGACAAGUGGGGCAACCCUGAUCCAGCCAUGCCGCGUGUGUGAAGAAGG